rnacentral:rRNA from 1 species
GACAUCCAGAGAAUUUAGCAGAGAUGCUUUAGUGCCUUCGGGAACUCUGAGACAGGUGCUGCAUGGCUGUCGUCAGCUCGUGUUGUGAAAUGUUGGGUUAACGUCCGCAACGAGCGCAACCCUUAUCCUUUGUUGCCAGCACGUAAUGGUGGGAACUCAAAGGAGACUGCCGGUGAUAAACCGGAGGAAGGUGGGGAUGACGUCAAGUCAUCAUGGCCCUUACGAGUAGGGCUACACACGUGCUACAAUGGCGUAUACAAAGAGAAGCGACCUCGCGAGAGCAAGCGGACCUCAUAAAGUGCGUCGUAGUCCGGAUUGGAGUCUGCAACUCGACUCCAUGAAGUCGGAAUCGCUAGUAAUCGUAAAUCAGAAUGUUACGGUGAAUACGUUCCCGGGCCUUGUACACACCGCCCGUCACACCAUGGGAGUGGGUUGCAAAAGAAGUAGAUAGCUUAACCUUCGGGAGGGCGUUUACCACUUUGUGAUUCAUGACUGGGGUGAAGUCGUAACAAGGUAAGCGUAGUGCU